AGCAAGAACAACAGUCUACAGCCCCCACUAUCAGCAAAACUGGCAUUUAGAGUUAGCAACCAAUUGCAUCACACUGCCACACUCUACAUGCAGACCUGCUGUAGAUACCUGACACCCGGACAUGAAUGUGAUAUGCUACUGAUCAUGAAGGACUUAUGGAGAUAGAUCGAAAGAAUGACUUUCAGAAGCUACACGUUGUCCUGAAGCCUUGUGCCCAGAACAGAGUCUCUCCCACACUGAAGAGGAAGGACAGUGCCACGACUUCUAGGUGGUGGGAAGACACAGCUCCAGCGUGGGCUUCCACUCUUCUUCCCAGGAAAGAAUUGAAGGCAUAAAGAAAAUAGGUUCAGCUUGCAAUCUUCAAACUGCAGAGCCAUAUACCUACCUCACUGCACUGAUACGAAGAUUAAAUGAAAUAAUAUAUGUAGAAUGCUUAGAACUACAGUGCCUGACACAUAACACACAGAGAAAGGAAGAGACAUUGGCAGAGGGAGAAGCAGGCUUCCUGCGGGCAGCCUGCUACUGGACUCAGUCCCAGGACCCCGGGAUCACUCCUUGAGCUGAAGGCAGACACUUAACCACUGAACCACCCAAGUAUCCCACACA